rnacentral:lncRNA from 1 species
UGGCUUAACAGAAUGACAUUGAUUCGCACUGAACGUAACUAAUCUGCACAAGACAUGUCCAUUUUAUCAUUUUUAAAAAUUACAAGGCUGAAGCCCACUGCAGUGGGUGGCAAUGCUGGAAAAUCCAACAAGUCAAACACAAUUAUAUCGGAAUUUGACUCUUCUGAAAUGAAUGUGUCGAUUUAAAAGGAAAAGUAAGGAGAUUGCAAAAUUACGAGAUGAAAUUGUAAUCACAUGCAUGCACAAGUAAAACAAACUACAUAAUUGUUUCAAACCUCAACCAUCAAUUUUCAAUCAAUGGCUAUAGCUUCAUUCUGUCACUAUCUCCUUCAGUCAUGGUUCACUCCAUCAAUUUUCAAUCAAUGGCUUAGCUUCAUUUUCUUUCAGAGGUGCUCAACAAGGUUGUAGAAUUUUCCUCAAACUGGCCAUCCUUUGUUGGUGAGACCAACUAUUUCCACAGUUUGGGCCAUACUGACUUGUAGGUACAGUACAGAACUUACACAUAUAGGUUUACCAUUCUGAUCGUAUAUUGAAGUAGACGGAAUAUACAAAUUGAAGAUGCACUGAUAUUAUUGAUCUUCUCUGUGGAAACUUCCCAACGGAGGUAGUCACAGAAAAUACGGAAAUGUAAACCGACACAAACUGCAGGAAACUAACAAACCUCUAGGACAUGGAGAGCCUACUCUCCCAAACCAAACCACUCAACAAACCGAAUGAGGUGCUUUCUUGUUCUUAUUCUACUUAAAUACAUCACACUUACAUAAUUUAGGCCUAAAAUACUAGGCACUUACACGUAACAUACAUUAUAAUAGGAGGUCUACUAACACAUUCACUUAAGCCACACUUUGACGCAUCUAGCUUAGUGGAACUCAAUUUGGUAACGAUAGGAAUUUUCAUCUAUCUGCUAAAGGCGCAUAAGCUUUUCAAUGAGGUUUCUCCAAUAGAUACAAGGGUAUUCGCAGCUCUAUUUCAUUUAAGUUCUCUUUUUUCUUGAUUUUUUCCUGUUUUGUUCUCUCAUUUAGUAUAUAUUUUCU